UGCCCCCUGGCAAUGGGCAAAGAGACACUUUGCUGGUGGUGGUAUUCUUCUAUCAGUGAGGGUCAGAGCAGAUGGCAGUCCUUUGUUUAUCCUAGCUUGAUGCCUCUGGCUUGGGGGCCAAAACUGUCUUAUGCAUAAGACACAUAC